UGCGCAGGCGGUUAUGUAAGUUAGAUGUGAAAUCCCCGGGCUUAACCUGGGAAUGGCAUUUGAGACUGCAUGGCUAGAGUGUGUCAGAGGGGGGUAGGAAUUCCACGUGUAGCAGUGAAAUGCGUAGAGAUGUGGAGGAAUACCGAUGGCGAAGGCAGCCCCCUGGGAUAACACUGACGCUCAUGCACGAAAGCGUGGGGAGCAAACAGGAUUAGAUACCCUGGUAGUCCACGCCCUAAACGAUGUCUACUAGUUGUCGGGACUUAAUUGUCUUGGUAACGCAGCUAACGCGUGAAGUAGACCGCCUGGGGAGUACGGUCGCAAGAUUAAA
rnacentral:rRNA from 1 species